CAAAAAAUAGUUUAAGGUAGAAGACGCUAGCUUUGGGGGCUAGUGAUGAGACUUAAUUCUCUUUUUUGA
rnacentral:tRNA from 1 species